rnacentral:miRNA from 1 species
GGUUUCUCUGUGUAGCUUUGUCUGUCCUCGAACUCACUCUGUAGACCAGGCUGGCCUUGAACUCACAGAGCUCUGCUUGCCUCUGUCUCCCAAGUGCUGGGAUCAAAGGCAUGCACCAGCACUGCCC